rnacentral:lncRNA from 1 species
UAUAAUAUAUAUAUAUAUAUAAUAUAAUAUAAUUCAAUUCUGAAAUGCUUUCUUUUUAAGUUUUUAACAAAAUGAUUCUUUCUUUGCCUUCCGAAGGAGGCGUGUCCUCUUUCAGCCACCCCCCCACCACAGCCCCGUUCACCGUCUUCCAGGACGACACGGACAAAGAAAACGGCCGAGCUGCUGCUCCCGCUGCGGUGGAGAAAUCUAAACCAAUCAGAGCUCUGGCUGAACUCCCUGUGCCCAACAAACCCAACGACACUCCCGUGGACCUGAUGCCCGACGAGAGCACCAUGUGGGGCGCUCGCUACAACUCCCUCAACUCCCUCAACUCGCUGGAUGCGUGUCCCAACAGCACCACAGACUUCGCCAUGCUGGCUCAGUUUGUCUCCACGCCGUUCACUCACAAGUCGGCGUUCAACUUCUACGAGGACGAUGAGAACGACUGUGACGCUUGCAGAUGUUGAGGACGAUGCUUUCAUCAGACGGCAGCCGAAGAAGCUCAGGUAACGAU